rnacentral:tRNA from 1 species
GCCACCAUAGUUCAAUGGAUAGAACGGCCCGUUCCUAAUGGGUUGAUGCAGGUCCGAUUCCUGCUGGUGGCA